ensembl:lncRNA
UGUCAGGAUUGUGAGCUCAAACUGACUGUACAACUCUAUAUAUUUCAGUUUCUACAGGUUUUCUACAGGUGGUGGGCCGUCAGGGCCAGCAAGGCCUUCUCUGCUGGCCUAAACAUCAUCAAGAUAUAUAUCUUUUUUUCCUGUCCAGUGGACUGUAAAGAGUCAGAUGUGCCAGCGUCAUGACGUGAUGUGGCAUGACUCGUCCCCGUCGCUCCCUGAGAGAUCAGCUGAGAUGCACAAAACCAUCACGAGCUGCUUUUGCACCAAUUGAUUACAUUAAGUCUUUGUUCUCCUUAAUCCUCCUCAUAUUUAUUUUUUCUUUUAGGCGUAUGUGUUAUUUUAAAUACAAUCAUAUUGAUUGUCUCUUUAUCUUGGCUUGUUUCUCAGAGCUUUUCUGUAUUAUUAUCACAAUUGUCAGGAUUGUGAGUUCAAACUGACUGUACAACUCUAUAUAUAUUUCAGUUUCUACAGGUUUUCCACAGGUGGUGGGCCGCCAGGGCCAGCAAGGCCUUCUCUGCUGGCCUAAACAUCAUCAAGAUAUAUCUCUUUUUUUCCUGUCCAGUGGACUGUAUAGAGUCAGAUGUGCCAGCGUCAUGACGUGAUGUGGCAUGACUCGUCCCCGUCCCUCCCUGAGAGAUCAGCUGAGAUGCACAAAACCAUCACGAGCUGCUUUUGCACCAAUUGAUUACAUUAAGUCUUUGUUCUCCUUAAUCCUCCUCAUAUUUAUUUUUUCUUUUAGGCGUAUGUGUUAUUUUAAAUACAAUCAUAUUGAUUGUCUCUUUAUCUUGGCUUGUUUCUCAGAGCUUUUCUGUAUUAUUAUCACAAUUGUCAGGAUUGUGAGUUCAAACUGACUGUACAACUCUAUAUAUAUUUCAGUUUCUACAGGUUUUCCACAGGUGGUGGGCCGUCAGGGCCAGCAAGGCCUUCUCUGCUGGCCUAAACAUCAUCAAGAUAUAUAUCUUUUUUUCCUGUCCAGUGGACUGUAAAGAGUCAGAUGUGCCAGCGUCAUGACGUGAUGUGGCAUGACUCGUCCCCGUCGCUCCCUGAGAGAUCAGCUGAGAUGCACAAAACCAUCACGAGCUGAUUUUGCACCAAUAGAUUAAAUCUUUGUUCUCCUUAAUAUGUUGUUCUCCAUUAUCUUUUUCUUUUAGGCGUAUGUGUUAUUUUAAAUACAAUCAUAUUGACUGUAUCUUUAACUUGGCUUGUUUCUCAGGGGUUUUCUGUAUUAUUAUCACAAUUGUGAAUUGUAAUAACAAUAUUGUGGAUUGUGCGCAGGAUCUCGCUAGGUUGUAUAGCAACUCAUUCUCAUUUCCUAAGCGUGUGCGUUUUCUUUUAUGCAACUUUAUACUUCUACUCCACUGCCUCACUCAUGUCUGUAAAUGUAGUAUAUAUGGUUUUUAAUCCACUACAUUCACCUGUAAAAUUGCAUUACUUUUUCAGAUUACAAGUACCCUUCUGUUCAGUGAAAACCUUUCAUCCCACGUGAGUUUGAAUGUUUAUAAUUAUACAGUGCAUCCGGAAAGUAUUCACAGCGCUUCACUUUUUCCUCAUUUUGUUAUGUUACAGGCUUAUUCCAAAAUGGACAAUUGAGUUGUAGAAACAUUUCAAGGAUGAUCAGUGGAAACAGCAUGCACCGAGCUAAAUUUUGAGUGUCAUGGCAAAGGCCAAUGUUAUGUUUUUGUCUUUAUUUUGAAUAGAUUUGCAAAAAUGAGCAAAAAACAGUUUUCACUUUGUCAUUAUGGGUUGUUGUGUGUAGAAUGUUGAGGAAAAUAAUGAAUUUCUUCCAUUUUGGAAUAAGGCUGUAAACAUAACAAAAUGUGGAAAAAGUGAAGCGCUGUGAAUACUUUCCGGAUGCACUGUGUAUAU